rnacentral:rRNA from 1 species
CUACGGGAGGCAGCAGUGAGGAAUAUUGGUCAAUGGGCGUAAGCCUGAACCAGCCAAGUAGCGUGAAGGACGACGGCCCUACGGGUUGUAAACUUCUUUUAUAAGGGAAUAAAGUUCGCCACGUGUGGUGUUUUGUAUGUACCUUAUGAAUAAGCAUCGGCUAAUUCCGUGCCAGCAGCCGCGGUAAUACGGAAGAUGCGAGCGUUAUCCGGAUUUAUUGGGUUUAAAGGGAGCGUAGGCGGGCUUUUAAGUCAGCGGUCAAAUGUCACGGCUCAACCGUGGCCAGCCGUUGAAACUGUAAGCCUUGAGUCUGCACAGGGCACAUGGAAUUCGUGGUGUAGCGGUGAAAUGCUUAGAUAUCACGAAGAACUCCGAUCGCGAAGGCAUUGUGCCGGGGCAGCACUGACGCUGAGGCUCGAAAGUGCGGGUAUCAAACAGGAUUAGAUACCCUGGUAGUCCGCACGG